CCCUUUUUUAAAGAUGGGCACUACCUUAGCCUUUUUCCAGUCAUCUGGACUUGUUUCCUUUGCCCCUCUGGCUGACUCAGCAUCUUCCCUCCCUGGCAUGGAAGGGUGAAAGGCUCAGCCCUGCAGCAGUGGAGGUACCCUACGUGCAGCCUCCAGAAUAGCUUUCCUCCAUUUUGUGCAGCCAAAGUGGUCCUGUGCCAAUAUAGCAUCUGCAUCCAACACCAAGCCAGGGCAGGAUCCAGAGCCAGGAUUCCACAGCAUUGAUGCCUGCUAGAAUUGUGGCAUUCCUGGUUAUAAGGAAUUCCUCUUAGAACAAGACCUCAAAUGAUGUGAAUGCCUGCGGACACUGGGCAUGCAGGAAGAACGGUCUGGCCUUUCCCCUCACGGGAAGGAGGAAUCAGCGCCCUGCUCGGGAGGUCGUGGUGGAUCUAGCUGGCUUUGCUGAAGCUGCUGGGUCUAAAAUGAAUUGUCUCUUGCUCAGUUCCAGGCUCCCCCACCGGGAUAAAAGCCUUCCCAUCUUCUGCCAGCAGCAUGGUCGUGUCCUGGCUUCCCCCCAGCUAAGUCGAACAGGAUCAUCCGGAAGUACACCAUCUUCUACUCCAGCCCUGGGUCCGGACAGCCGCUGCAGGUGUGUGUCAGGGAGGCCGUGUCAGGCAGUGUGAAAAUAUCCCACUGAAAGCAAAACAACUCGAUACCGCGCCUCAGAAAUCAGAGGAGAUAGCCCAGCUGCUCCCGUCGGGUCCAUCCUACUGGGUAUGCCACUGAUGGAUUGUCUGCACCCCAGUGGGGGGUAUUUCUCAAAGAGAGGAGGAGGAUCUAAAAAUAAGAGACAGUGACCUCAUCAUUAGCUCUCCUCCUCCAUCUGUACUCGUGGCAACAAGAUUGCUUGAAGGACAAUAGGAGCAUCAUUGAACUGAGGGGAGGGCGAUUGUGGCUGGAAGUCUUUCCAGUUAGUAUGAAUUGCUGUAAGCUGUUGGGUGAGAAAUCUUUUGGCUUUGAAAUGGUAUUUAGCUUGGUGAUGUUUAGGAAUUGGUCACAAA